ensembl:lncRNA
GGUUAAACAAUCCAGGGACAGGCAGGAAUGUGACUUUGGUGAUAUUUCAAGUCACGAUUGAUGAAUUGUUGGAACCAGCAACUGACAAUCUUGCUGAGAGAUGGUCCUUUUUCCUCAGCUGUGCCACCUGUGGCCUCAGUUUUGCAACAGGAAUACUGAACUUCCUGAUCUACAAGUUCCCAUUCUUGAGAAGAGGACCUCAGGGUAAUAAGAUCGUUCUCGUGUAAUCAGCUGAACACUAUGCACUCCCCCCUCUUUGAGGGGAGAUGCUGGGGAAUGGUACUUGACAAGCUUCAAAGAUGCAAUGGGGGCAUGUCUCACAUAGGCCCUUCCAACACCACAGCUGGCUCCUGGCGAGGUUACAGUAUGUCAUCACUUAUAAAUGUCCACCAUCCACUCAAGCGCCAAGCCUCCACACUUGGUUCACAGAAGAAAAAACUUCUGAGAGUCCAGGAACUACAUGGAAAGAACUGUGCAGAUUGAUUGAGAAGGAUCUGUCUCCUGUAUCAACGGUACUUGAUAGCCCAGUAUUUUCUCUGUGAAGACCAGUACUACAAAAUACUGAGCAUUGCUAAAACAAAGAAACAAAGAAAAUAAGUAGAUGCUUUGAUCAAACAGUCUGGAAAAUUGCUUUUAAAAAGUGAUUUGCCAUUUUAAUUUUAUGGCCAAGAAAAUCAGUUAGUGUUACAGUGACUAUUAAAUCCAACUUUCAACAUUCUUGUUUCUCAGAAGUAACUAAAAUAGAUGAGUUAAAGAAACUGAAUGGUUCAGCUUGUUAGCCUUUAGUACAAAAGACAUAUUCUGCCUGCUCAUUUAUUUAUCUCAACACCCACAACAAAACAUAAGGCAGUAGCAAGAGACAUACCAUCAUCGAGGCAAGGACCCUACAGAUAACGAGUCUAGACCCUGUCAAGGAGGCACACGGGAUUCGAAUUCCCAACUUUUGGUUCUGGAGCCAGAUUCCUAAACCAUUAAAGUAUCCAGCAGUUCAUAAGACAGCACUUGAACCAUGUGGUAGCCUUCUUCCCCCUUUUCGUGAGGUCACAGCUAUAAAAAUAAAUAAAAGUUACAUUUUCA